rnacentral:tRNA from 1 species
GGUUCAAUGGUCUAGUGGUUAUGAUUUCUGUCUUACACACAGAAGGUCUCCAGUUCGAACCUGGAUUGAGCCA